rnacentral:rRNA from 1 species
UACAGAGGUCUCAAGCGUUGUUCGGAUUCAUUGGGCGUAAAGGGCGCGUAGGCGGCGGGGUAAGUCGGGUGUGAAAUCUCAGAGCUCAACUCUGAAAUGGCACUUGAUACUGCUCUGCUAGAGGACUGGAGAGGAGAUUGGAAUUCACGGUGUAGCAGUGAAAUGCGUAGAUAUCGUGAGGAAGACCGGUGGCGAAGGCGGGUCUCUGGACAGUUCCUGACACUGAGGCACGAAGGCCAGGGGAGCAAACGGG